GGUUUGAUGCUCGAGUGGUUAAUGGGGACGAACUGUAAAUUUGUUGACAAUGUCUACUCUGGUUCAAAUUCAGCUCGGCCCA
rfam:Triticum aestivum genome assembly, contig: Triticum_aestivum_CS42_TGACv1_scaffold_642505_T_1AL-0.353462_1DL-0.207880